AUACGGAGGGUGCAAGCGUUACUCGGAAUCACUGGGCGUAAAGCGCGCGCAGGCGGCUAUUUAAGUUGGAUGUGAAAGCCUACGGCUCAACCGUAGAACUGCAUCCAAAACUAUUUAGCUAGAGGGUGGGAGAGGAAGAUGGAAUUAGUUGUGUAGGGGUAAAAUCCGUAGAGAUAACUAGGAAUACCAAAAGCGAAGGCAAUCUUCUGGAACACUACUGACGCUGAGGCGCGAAAGCGUGGGGAGCAAACAGGAUUAGAAACCCCAGUAGUCC
rnacentral:rRNA from 1 species